GAUCCUGGCUCAGGAUGAACGCUAGCUACAGGCUUAACACAUGCAAGUCGAGGGGCAGCAUGGUCUUAGCUUGCUAAGGCUGAUGGCGACCGGCGCGCGGGUGAGUAACACGUAUCCAACCUACCGUCUACUCUUGGCCAGCCUUCUGAAAGGAAGAUUAAUCCAGGAUGGGAUCAUGAGUUCACAUGUCCGCAUGAUUAAAGGUAUUUUCCGGUAGACGAUGGGGAUGCG
rnacentral:rRNA from 1 species